ACGAACGCUGGCGGCGUGCCUAAUACAUGCAAGUCGAGCGGAGUGAUGAAGAAGCUUGCUUCUUCUGAUUUUAGCGGCGGACGGGUGAGUAACACGUGGGCAACCUACCUUGUAGAUUGGGAUAACUCCGGGAAACCGGGGCUAAUACCGAAUAAUCCAUUUUGCUUCAUGGCGAGAUGUUGAAAGACGGUUUCGGCUGUCACUACAAGAUGGGCCCGCGGCGCAUUAGCUAGUUGGUAGGGUAAUGGCCUACCAAGGCGACGAUGCGUAGCCGACCUGAGAGGGUGAUCGGCCACACUGGGACUGAGACACGGCCCAGACUCCUACGGGAGGCAGCAGUAGGGAAUCUUCCACAAUGGACGAAAGUCUGAUGGAGCAACGCCGCGUGAGUGAAGAAGGUUUUCGGAUCGUAGAACUCUGUUGUAAGGGAAGAACACGUACGAGAGUAACUGCUCGUACCUUGACGGUACCUUAUUAGAAAGCCACGGCUAACUACGUG
rnacentral:rRNA from 1 species